AUGGAAAAAUGACUUUGAGAGGAAAGAUAAGCAAAGCAAAGCUUCGACGAAAGCACGGGGUUUUUUCAACUCAGAAGACUUCAAAAUGACACAGAUAUGAACCAUCGAAACAAUGCACAACUCACUGAGGACUCCGAUUGACUGAUGCCCUUUCAAGAGCCUGCAUUUCAAAACUGGAUAUGGCGCUUUAUUCGUGAGGAGCUGGCUAAAAAUGCGUUGGGGGUUCGUGUUUUUCAGUGCCGAAGACUGAUUAGAUAGUGGAUGUUUAUUUCUUGCUUCAUUCUUUUGUACCAUUCAUAAUUUUCCUUUCCCUUUCUAUUUGUAAAGACCUUUGAAGUUUUGAUUGGACUAUCAAUUUUGCU